AGGACGAACGCUGGCGGCACGCCUAACACAUGCAAGUCGAACGGAGAUAUUUGGUUUACUGAGGUAUCUUAGUGGCGGACGGGUGAGUAACACGUGAGCAACCUGCCUUUGAGAGAGGGAUAGCUUCUGGAAACGGAUGGUAAUACCUCAUAACAUAAUUGGAAGGCAUCUUCUGAUUAUCAAAAGAUUUAUCACUCAAAAGAUGGGCUCGCGUCUGAUUAGAUAGUUGGUGAGGUAACGGCUCACCAAGUCGACGAUCAGUAGCCGGACUGAGAGGUUGAACGGCCACAUUGGGACUGAGACACGGCCCAGACUCCUACGGGAGGCAGCAGUGGGGAAUAUUGCACAAUGGGGGAAACCCUGAUGCAGCGAUGCCGCGUGGAGGAAGAAGGUUUUCGGAUUGUAAACUCCUGUCUUAAAGGACGAUAAUGACGGUACUUUAGGAGGAAGCUCCGGCUAACUACGUGCCAGCAGCGGC
rnacentral:rRNA from 1 species